GACGAACGCUGGCGGCGUGCUUAACACAUGCAAGUCGAGCGGUAAGGCCCUUUCGGGGGUACACGAGCGGCGAACGGGUGAGUAACACGUGAGUAAUCUGCCCUUCACUUCGGGAUAAGCCUCGGAAACGGGGUCUAAUACCGGAUACGACACUUUUACGCAUGUAAUGGGUGUGGAAAGUCCUUUCGGUGGGGGAUGUGCUCGCGGCCUAUCAGCUUGUUGGUGGGGUAAUGGCCUACCAAGGCUUCGACGGGUAGCCGGCCUGAGAGGGUGACCGGCCACACUGGGACUGAGACACGGCCCAGACUCCUACGGGAGGCAGCAGUGGGGAAUAUUGGACAAUGGGCGGAAGCCUGAUCCAGCAACGCCGCGUGAGGGAUGACGGCCUUCGGGUUGUAAACCUCUUUCAGCGGGGACGAAGCGCAAGUGACGGUACCCGCAGAAGAAGCACCGGCCAACUACGUGCCAGCAGCCGCGGUAAUACGUAGGGUGCGAGCGUUGUCCGGAAUUAUUGGGCGUAAAGGGCUCGUAGGCGGUUUGUCGCGUCGGGAGUGAAAACGCCGGGCUUAACUCGGUGCUUGCUUUCGAUACGGGCAGACUAGAGGCAUGCAGGGGAGAACGGAAUUCCUGGUGUAGCGGUGAAAUGCGCAGAUAUCAGGAGGAGCACCGGUGGCGAAGGCGGU
rnacentral:rRNA from 1 species